rnacentral:misc_RNA from 1 species
UAGCUCAAACUAAUGGCUUAUAUAUAUAACAGUUCUAUCAAUCUUCAAGUCCCAAGGUUCGCUUGAGUCCUGCUCGUUGCUCUGGUGUCAAUCUUGUUGGGAACUUCACUUCAAAUUUGACCCUUAAACUGCCCCUAUUACCUGGCUCUUUAGCGAUUGGCAUACCUUCCCUGGCAACAAGAAGCUCAUAACCAGGACUAACUAUAUCAUGUACUGGAAUCGAUAGGUUACGGCCAUCAAGUGUAGUGAGAUUUACUGUUGUACCUCCAAGUGCUUCUGCUAAUGACACCCUUUGGUUUAUAAUGAGGUCAUUGCCAUCUCUCUUGUAGGUACUGUGGGGUUUCUCAUCAAUGAUGAACACGAGGUCUGCUGGAAGCUGAUUCAACUGUUCAUUUCCUUUAUCUGGGAAAGUAAUCUUUGUUCCCUUUUUCCACCCUGGCUUCACAUCAAUGGUUAGAAUCUCUGUUUCUUGCACUUGCCGCCCAUGGCCAUCAACUACAGUUCUAGAAAUCUUCAUUUUCCUUGUUGAUCCAGAGUAUAGUUCCUCAAGACUGCAAGGCAAUUUACUCUCUACUGGUGGUGGCUUCCUUGGCACAGUCCCCUCACUGUAAGUCCGAAAUAGAUUUUCACUCCCACCAAAUCCCCCAAACAUUCCUCCAUCUGGCUGGAACCUCAUGGACCUUCCAGGUCCUGAUGAUCCAAAUCCAAAAGGACUGCUGCCAAAGAAUUCUGCAAAUAUAUCUUCUGCAUUUCUAGGAUUGAAACCACUCGACCCAGUGCCACUACCAUUUCCAAAUGGGAAUCCACCACUGCCAGGGGGUGGCAUGUCUUUCAGGCCUUCUUCACCAUACUGAUCAUAAAUUGCUCUCUUUUGCGGGUCACUUAGGACCUCGUAAGCCUCAGAGAUCUGCUUGAAUUUGGCUUCAGCCUCUUUCUUGUUGGUGGGAUUUUUAUCAGGAUGCCAUUUCAUUGCCAAUCUCCUAUACGACUUCUUUAGAUCAUCAUCCGUGGCGUUCUUGUUCACUUUCAAUAUAUUAUAGUAAUCUACCCCCAUUUUUUUU